GAUAUAGUGUAUGCAUGCGUGAAUUAUUUGGCAUGCGUGAAUAAUCAAGGAGAGUGAAACAGCUAACGUUAAGGUCAGGAUGUUUCCAUGAGUAUGCUUUCCCAGCCCCCAUCCGUCCUCUCUUCCACCUCCUCUACGGCGUGGUAUCUAUGCACAGUGAUCUCCCUCAUGAAGCCACCCUCAACAUGAAAACAAUUUCAGCGCACACGAGAGCCUUCAACAAUAGCAUGAAAAACACAGUUUUGUUCUAAGCCAGGCUUGUUACUGAUGAAGGGCUACCAUGAAACUUUCAUUAGGUUAUCAGGGAGCGAGGCUUUCACCUUCUAAUAUUCAAGCUGUUUUGUACAGUUGCAAAGAGACAACAAAACUAGGGGCAUUGAUUAAGUGCUUCUGUAGAUCAAUACGAACACUGUAGCCUCUCUGCCACUAUAAGAAAGGUAAUGUAUGAUCUUGGCCUCAUCUGUCGCUCAGAUGCUUGGGGUGAGAGUCCCCUCAACAGGAACUGUUGAUGCAGAUUUCAGUCUUAGGGCUGGGCAGAUGAAAGGAAGUUUCUGUGGUUUCCAGCGUGACAGAGCCGUAUGAGGGAUGAAAGUCACCGAUUUAAGACUGUCCCAUCAAAGGAAUUUUAGAGAUGUGAAAAACAGAAGUUUCAAAAGGAGGUGCAAGGUACCACUUAACAAGAUAUUGGAAUCCCAAAAAGACUCUGCUCAAGGUUCUCAAGAGGGCUACGUUAUAGUCAGGAGAAUCCUCAAAGCUCAAGUAACUAGACAGAACCUAAAAGACAUGCAAGAAGCAUGAGGCCAAUACAGAAGGGGAGGUGGUGGUGAGGCCCACGGGAGGGUAAGAAAAAGCAAGCAAGCAACCAAACAAGCCACCAAACAAAACAACAAAAGAAAAAUUCUGCCAGAUUAAAAAGAGAAAACUUUGCAGAAACAAACAAAAAAGUCUCCAACUCUUCUAAAGGCUUUCCACAGCAAAGUUCUCAUUGAAGUUAAUGCUUAGAAGAUUACAUAGAUAACAGGAAAAUAUAAAAUGUGCUUAAUAAAAAACAACCUACUAGAAUUCUUGAGAAUUGUCAUCCUUCUCCCCAUCCUUACCCCUUAGACUAACUGACUUGGUUCUUUUGAGGAAACUAUGUUUAGAAUCACAGGGAUAAGAAAUCUGGGAAGAGAAGCAAUGCAGGAAGAAGGGCCAAAAUAAGAGAUAGGAUGAUGAUGAAAAGCAGCGUUGUGGGAGGGUGAAAACUUGUACCCCAAAUUGGAUCUGUGAAGAGUGAGGCACCAGCAAACACCCCAAGUGCCCCCCUGCACUGGAAGCAUCUUGCUCACAAAUAAUAAACGAAGAUUUAGGAGCAAGCAAACCUGAAAUUUUAA
rnacentral:lncRNA from 1 species